GAUGAAGAACGUAGUGAAAUGCGAUAAGUAAUGUGAAUUGCAGAAUUCAGUGAAUCAUCGAAUCUUUGAACGCACAUUGCGCCCGCUGGUAUUCCGGCGGGCAUGCCUGUUCGAGCGUCAUUUCAACCCUCAAGCCCCCGGGUUUGGUGUUGGGGAUCGGCUCUGCCUUCUGGCGGUGCCGCCCCCGAAAUACAUUGGCGGUCUCGCUGCAGCCUCCAUUGCGUAGUAGCUAACACCUCGCAACUGGAACGCGGCGCGGCCAUGCCGUAAAACCCCAACUUCUGAAUGUUGACCUCGGAUCAGGUAGGAAUACCCGCUGAACUUAAGCAUAUCAAUAAGCGGAGGA
rnacentral:misc_RNA from 1 species